AAUCUAAACUUAGUGGAAGAGGUCUGGAAUGGCCUACCAUAGAUGGUGAUAGUCCAGUACGCGAAAAGUUUAGAUCUCCUUGGAUAGUAUUCUCAAGUACCACGGGACACGAGGAAUCUUGUGGGAAUCCGGGAAGACCACUUCCCAAGGCUAAAUACUAGUUAGCGACCGAUAGUGAACAAGUACCGUGAGGGAAAGGU
rnacentral:rRNA from 1 species